GACGAACGCUGGCGGCGUGCCUAAUACAUGCAAGUAGAACGCACAGUUUAUACCGUAGCUUGCUACACCAUAGACUGUGAGUUGCGAACGGGUGAGUAACGCGUAGGUAACCUGCCUGGUAGCGGGGGAUAACUAUUGGAAACGAUAGCUAAUACCGCAUAAUAUUAAUUAUUGCAUGAUAAUUAAUUGAACGGUGCAAUUGCACCACUACCAGAUGGACCUGCGUUGUAUUAGCUAGUAGGUGAGGUAACGGCUCACCUAGGCGACGCUACAUAGCCGACCUGAGAGGGUGAUCGGCCAAGCUGAGACUGAGACACGGCCCAGACGCCGCCGGGAGGCAGCAGUAGGGAAUCUUCGGCAAUAGACGAAAGGCUGACCGAGCAACGCCGCGUGAGUGAAGAAGGUCUUCGGAUCGUGAAGCUCUGUUGUAAGAGAAGAACGGGUGUGAGAGUGGAAAGUUCACACUGUGACGGUAUCUUAACAGAAAGGGACGGCUAACUACGUG
rnacentral:rRNA from 1 species